UCGCUACUCCGGCGCAGCCAGGGAGAGCCCCAGCUGCCCCAACCUGCAAUGUAAACACGGCCAAGAGUAGACGUCCCCGUCCCCCCGGUGCAACUUGUUGCUUCUCAGUGGGGAAAAAAUAAACAGAGAACGCUCCAAGGAGACGGGGGAAGGCAAGAGCCGGCCCAGGACAAAGCCAGAGACCCUGGAUUUCCAUCUCCCGUCCGGGUCCUUCCCCGCUUUCCAAGCGGCCAGCUCCCCGCCGCCUUUAUUUUCGCUUUCCCUGGCGGUAAUCAUUAAACAGGAGCCAAGCGCAGGCUGCGGGAACCAUUUCACACACGCAGAAACCGACCAUCCCCCCUGCGAGCCGUAAAACAAGCGGCUCCCUCCCUCCGACCAACGCGGGACGCCCCGCCGCACCGGCGGGGGUCGGGGAGCGAGCUCCUGUCCUUUUUCCAGAGUGCAGAAGGAACUGAUGUUAACGAUGAUGCUGUUAUACAGGCUUUGUAAAAGUACUAAGACCAGCUGCAAAUGUUUCUACGCUCCCCCUAUCAUCUCCAUCCCAGAGGCUAGCGCAGAUUAGAAGGUGAAAAAAACCGCACUCGUGAUGACAUGUUCUCAGAGUUCAUGCAGUCCUCCCGCACUGAAAGAGCUCUGCAGAAUGCAUGGAGGCAAACAAUGUCAGAGUCCAGGAAAGCGUUAAAUGAAUGCGAUGAGAGGAGGGAGGAGCACAUUGAGAGGAAGUAGGAUGCAAUGCUGAGGCUAAUGGGGAAGAAAACCGGCAUCUGGUGGAGCUUCAGGAAAGGCAGCAGGAGCACAGACUGCUGCUGCAGCCCUGUAUAACUGCCUGCCCUCCUCCCCAAGUUCCAUAUCCUCCUCACCCAGAUGCCCAAGAACGCGGGGGGGGGGGGGAGGGGGGAAGCUACGGGCACCCAGCCACUCCACCCCAGAGGAUUGCCCAAGCAACAGAAGGCUGGCAUUCAAUAAGUUUUGAACUGUAGUGUGGCCUUGUCCUUCCCUCCUCUCUUCAUCUAGCACCUCACCCGGUGCUUCCCUCCUCACCCACCCCCUCCCAGGCUACCUUGCAAGUUUUCUCCUUAUUUGUGUGA